GAUAGUCCCAAAGGGGGAUUCUGGAUUCAAUAUUAUAUGACUAAGUGUUUAAAGUUAUUACAUCGUUGUGAAUUAUGUUCAUCUCUGGGUGCGUCCUUGAUGAGUCAUCCACACCGGGGACUUACAACACUUUCCUCGUACCUUCAAAUCUAAAAAAAAAAGCAGUCUCAGUUUUACUCACCUCUUUUCACGAAAAAUUAAAACAUUUCUUUAGAAAUGAAAUAGACUCAAUGGUAGAACAGUGUCAUAGAAUGAAACAGGGGCCAGGAAUUCGUAAACAGCUCUAAUAAGAUAUAGAACGCAGAACGUAUGACACACUUACACAACACACGAGGCACAAUUUAUAACUGAAGAAAUGAAUACAGAAAUUAUGAAGGAAGACUGAAGACGAGUGAAGAGGUAGGUAGCUAUACUCCAUGGACUGGAAUACAACCGGCGUGCUUCUUUCUUUCUUUCUCUCUCUCUCUC
rnacentral:lncRNA from 1 species